UUGUCUGUUCUCUCUUCAGUAGUUCUUCAUGUUUUGUUAAAACCUGAGCGUAUGCAGCAGUUGUUCCCCAAGAGUCGUUGAAAUGCAGCUCAGCAGCUUCCAUCUUUCAAACAUGGAGACAACAACGUGAAUGAAUCCUAUGCAGCCUGUUUUUACCUGGAGAGUCAGUUUAAGUCUCAGGGAACCAAACUGAUCCCAGACGGCGCUGCAGAACAAGCUCAGAUGUACCAGCGCAUGUUUGAGGGUCUCACAUUCUACGAAAAACUCA